UACGUAGGGUGCAAGCGUUGUCCGGAAUUAUUGGGCGUAAAGAGUUCGUAGGCGGUUUGUCGCGUCUGCUGUGAAAACCCGAGGCUCAACCUCGGGCCUGCAGUGGGUACGGGCAGACUAGAGUGCGGUAGGGGAGAUUGGAAUUCCUGGUGUAGCGGUGGAAAUGCGCAGAUAUCAGGAGGAACACCAAUGGCGAAGGCAGAUCUCUGGGCCGUAACUGACGCUGAGGAGCGAAAGCAUGGGGAGCGAACAGG
rnacentral:rRNA from 1 species